rnacentral:rRNA from 1 species
UGCCAGCAGCCGCGGUAAUACGUAGGUGGCGAGCGUUAUUCGGAUUUACUGGGCGUAAAGGGUCCGUAGGGGGUUUUUCAAGUCUGAUGUGAAAUCCUGCGGCUCAACCGCAGACCUGCAUUGGAAACUGUAAGACUGGAGUACAGGAGAGGUAAGUGGAAUUACCGGUGUAGCGGUGGAAUGCGUAGAUAUCGGUAGGAACACCAAGGGCGAAGGCGGCACUCUGGCUAGAGACUGACACUGAGGCACGAAAGCGUGGGGAGCAAACAGGAUUAGAUA